UACGUAGGGGGCUAGCGUUGUCCGGAUUUAUUGGGCGUAAAGAGCGUGUAGGCGGCUUCACAGGUCCGCUGUGAAAACUCGAGGCUCAACCUCGAGCUGUCGGUGGAAACCGUGUGGCUAGAGUCCGGAAGAGGAGAGUGGAAUUCCCGGUGUAGCGGUGAAAUGCGCAGAUAUCGGGAAGAACACCCGUGGCGAAGGCGGCUCUCUGGGACGGUACUGACGCUGAGACGCGAAAGCGUGGGGAGCGAACAGG
rnacentral:rRNA from 1 species